rnacentral:lncRNA from 1 species
GAACGCUAAUAUCCAGAGUCUGUAUUAACCCGUGAACUGGGCUCAGAUUACCCUGGCAUGGGAUGGACAACAAGCCUUUAGUGACCUCAUCUGCCCCUCAAUUCACAGCUGUCUGGCCCCAGGUCAGGUACUGAAGCAGCAGCAGAGGAGGUCUGGACCAAGGACAGAGCUUUGUAAGGUCAAAGCCGGUGCACAAGGCCAGGCCUUUACACCCACACUGGAAGAAAUCCCAGUUCUGAAUAAUUGAGUGCCUUUCUUUGACAACAAACCCCUGGUUCACUGAAGAAGAAAAAAAAAGGAUGAACCAGGAAGUGAACGUCAACCCAGCUUGAGAUGUGGAGAAGGAGCUGGCCUAGUGUCUACAAAGUACAGGCAAAAAGGUUUGCAACCCCUGACCCAUCGCCCACCACAGCUCGCCGUCACUGCCUCUUUCCCAUGGCUUGUCUCGGCUUGGAGUCUGCUGGGCUGUAUCCAGUGCUGCAGCUUACAGAAGAAAGACUUGGUGACAGUCUGGUGGUUCUCAAGCACCUAGAGGGUACGUCACUGCUCAGGGAAGGCAUUCUGCCAGACAGCAAUGUUCUCCAUCCAGGAAGAAGCAAGCACGGAUUAAGCACCUAAGGCCAACUCCAGCCUAUCACUGUUCCAGGAGAGACCUUUCCGGGUAGGGCUAUGAAGGAUGAAGACAGCAGGACAGGUGGAUGAGGAGCCAGGUCUGGGCCUCAGAGCUGAACAUAUAACCAGCCAGACCACUACCACCUCAGUCGAUUCACCUGGAAUCCCAGCGGCUAAACCAGGCUCUAUUUAAUACUUAGUAAAUAAACUAAUCCUCU